GAGGAUGAACGCUAGCGCGAGCUACACAUGCAAGUCGAGGGGCAGCGCGAGUAGCAAUACUUGGCGGCGACCGGCGCAAGGGUGCGUAACGCGUGAGCAACAUGCCCGUAUCAGGGGGAUAAUCCAGGGAAACUUGGUCUAAUACCCCAUAGUAAUUUUGUAAGGCAUCUUAUAAGAUUUAAAGCUUUGGUGGAUACGGAUUGGCUCGCGUGACAUUAGCUGGAUGGUAAGGUAACGGCUUACCAUGGCUAUGAUGUCUAGGGGUUCUGAGAGGAAGGUCCCCCACACUGGAACUGAGACACGGUCCAGACUCCUACGGGAGGCAGCAGUGAGGAAUAUUGGACAAUGGAUGGAAAUCUGAUCCAGCCAUGCCGCGUGAAAAGGAAGAAGGUCCUAUGGAUUGUAAACUUCUUUUGUAUGGGAGCAAUAAGGCCUACGAGUAGGUUGAUGAGAGUACCAUACGAAUAAGCACCGGCUAACUCCGUGCCAGCCGCCGC
rnacentral:rRNA from 1 species